rnacentral:rRNA from 1 species
GGCUCAGAACGAACGCUGGCGGCGUGGAUAAGACAUGCAAGUCGAGCGCUGAUUACAGGGUAGCAAUAUUCUGUAGUUGGAGCGGCGCAAGGGUGCGUAACACGUGGGUAAUCUGCCAUGAAGUCUGGGAUAACUCGCUGAAAGGCGAGCUAAUACCGGAUGUGACGAUUGGAAGGCAUCUUCUGAUUUUCAAAGCUGGGGACCGUAAGGCCUGGCGCUCCAUGAUGAGCCCGCGGCCUAUCAGCUAGUUGGUGAGGUAACGGCUCACCAAGGCUAAGACGGGUAGCUGGUCUGAGAGGACGACCAGCCACACUGGAACUGAGACACGGUCCAGACACCUACGGGUGGCAGCAGUCGAGAAUUUUUCACAAUGGGGGAAACCCUGAUGGAGCGACGCCGCGUGGGGGAUGAAUGGCUUCGGCCCGUAAACCCCUGUCAUUUGCGAACAAAUUGGUUCAAUUAAUAACUGAACCAUUGAUAGUAGCGAAAGAGGAAGGGACGGCUAACUCUGUGCCAGCAGCCGCGGUAAUACAGAGGUCCCAAGCGUUGUUCGGAUUCACUGGGCGUAAAGGGUGCGUAGGCGGUCGGGUAAGUCUGAUGUGAAAUCUCACAGCUUAACUGUGAAACUGCAUUGGAUACUAUUCGGCUAGAGAGUUGGAGGGGGGACUGGAAUUCUCGGUGUAGCAGUGAAAUGCGUAGAUAUCGAGAGGAACACCAGUGGCGAAGGCGAGUCCCUGGACAACUUCUGACGCUGAGGCACGAAAGCUAGGGGAGCAAACAGGAUUAGAUACCCUGGUAGUCCUAGCUGUAAACGUUGGGAACUAGGUGUGGGUCUCAUUCCACGAGAUCCGUGCCGCAGCUAACGCAUUAAGUUCCCCGCCUGGG